GACGAACGCUGGCGGCGUGCUUAACACAUGCAAGUCGAACGGAAAGGCCCUGCUUUUGUGGGGUGCUCGAGUGGCGAACGGGUGAGUAACACGUGAGUAACCUGCCCUUGACUUUGGGAUAACUUCAGGAAACUGGGGCUAAUACCGGAUAGGAGCUCCUGCUGCAUGGUGGGGGUUGGAAAGUUUCGGCGGUUGGGGAUGGACUCGCGGCUUAUCAGCUUGUUGGUGGGGUAGUGGCUUACCAAGGCUUUGACGGGUAGCCGGCCUGAGAGGGUGACCGGCCACAUUGGGACUGAGAUACGGACCAGACUCCUACGGGAGGCAGCAGUGGGGAAGAGUACACAAUGGGCGGAAGCCUGAUGCAGCAACGCCGCGUGGGGGAAGACGGCCUUCGGGUAGUAAACCGCUUUCGCCUGUGACGAAGCGUGAGUGACGGUAAUGGGUAAAGAAGCACCGGCUAACUACGUG
rnacentral:rRNA from 1 species